rnacentral:rRNA from 1 species
UACUACAAUGGCGGUAAACAAAGAGAGGCAAGACCGCGAGGUGGAGCAAAUCUCAAAAAGCCGUCCCAGUUCGGAUCGCAGGCUGCAACCCGCCUGCGUGAAGUUGGAAUCGCUAGUAAUCGCGGGUCAGCAUGCCGCGGUGAAUACGUUCCCGGGCCUUGUACACACCGCCCGUCACACCAUGAGAGUCGGGAACACCCGAAGUCCGUAGCCUAACCGCAAGGGGGGCGCGGCCGAAGGUGGGUUCGAUAAUUGGGGUGAAGUCGUAACAAGGUACC